UGGAUAUCCUACAUCCCAUGGCAAGUGUUC
rnacentral:piRNA from 1 species